rnacentral:rRNA from 1 species
UGGGGAAUAUUGCGCAAUGGGGGAAACCCUGACGCAGCGACGCCGCGUGAAGGAAGAAGGCCUUCGGGUUGUAAACUUCUUUGAUCGGGGACGAAGGAAGACGGUACCCGAGGAACAAGCCACGGCUAACUACGUGCCAGCAGCCGCGGUAAUACGUAGGUGGCGAGCGUUGUCCGGAAUUACUGGGCGUAAAGGGCGUGUAGGCGGGGGGACAAGUCAGAUGUGAAAUACCGGGGCUUAACCUCGGGGGUGCAUCUGAAACUGGUGCUCUUGAGUGCCGGAGAGGAAAGCGGAAUUCCCAGUGUAGCGGUGAAAUGCGUAGAUAUUGGGAGGAACACCAGUGGCGAAGGCGGCUUUCUGGACGGUAACUGACGCGGAGGCGCGAAAGCGUGGGGAGCAAACAGG